rnacentral:rRNA from 1 species
UACGUAGGGUGCGAGCGUUUGUCCGGAAUUACUGGGCGUAAAGAGCUCGUAGGUGGUUUGUCGCGUUGUUCGUGAAAACUCACAGCUUAACUGUGGGCGUGCGGGCGAUACGGGCAGACUGGAGUACUGCAGGGGAGACUGGAAUUCCUGGUGUAGCGGUGAAAUGCGCAGAUAUCAGGAGGAACACCGGUGGCGAAGGCGGGUCUCUGGGCCGAUACUGACGCUGAGGAGCGAAAGCGUGGGGAGCGAACAGG